UUUUCUUCCUACAGAAAAAAGGCAAAAAUUAAUUUUCUUUCCCAAGUAGAACAUUAUCUUGUGUCAGAUUAUGUAUUUAUUCACUGUGCAUUUGCAGAGGUUGUGCUUGUUGCAGUUUGUAGAGGUUGUGCUAUGUGCAGUUUGUAGAGGUUGUGCUAGCUGCAGUUUGUAGAGGUUGUGCUAGGUGCAGUUUACUGUCCAUGAUUCCUUCUCUCCCUUCCUUCUCUUCAUCUCUCCUUCCUUGCUUCUAUCUCCCUGCUCCUGCCACUCUCUGCCUUCAUCCCCCCUCCCACUAUUUGCCUUUAUGCAUAUAUCACUUUGGAAAGUGUGUGCUAUUCUGAGUCUUUUUUCUUAGCACUGAUUAAUGUAGUUUACCCUUACCCAGGUUUGGGUUACGGCUUUACAUCCGCUGAGGACACACAUCACAGCCACUGACACCAGGGGUCAGGCCGUUAUAAGAUUACAAGAUGUGUGUGAUGGACAUUAAUUUCACGCCACUGACAGCAUGUUUGUCUCUGCUGCUGAAGUACUCUUGAUGUUGUUUAAUCUCCAGUUCUCUCUCCUGUCCAUUCAUUUGUCAUCCCACUUUCUCAGAAAACUGGGUGCUAUUGCUGUUUCCACUCAGACUGUCACCGUCCGUCAGUCUCCUUUCAUCUAUGGGCGACAUUAGCUCAAAUUUCUUGAUUUUCACAGGGUCAUCCAUCUCGUUUCAGAUCACCCCUAUUACUAGCCUGUUCAACCUCUCUUUCGUAUCAUCUGAGAUUCCCAAAGAUUGGAAAGCUGCCGCGG
ensembl:lncRNA